UACAGAGGGUGCGAGCGUUGUCCGGAAUUACUGGGCGUAAAGGGCUCGUAGGUGGCCAACUAAGUCAGACGUGAAAUCCCUCGGCUUAACCGGGGAACUGCGUCUGAUACUGGAUGGCUAGAGUUUGGGAGAGGGAUGCGGAAUUCCAGGUGUAGCGGUGGAAUGCGUAGAGAUCCGGAAGAACACCGGUGGCGAAGGCGGCCUGCUGGGCAGUUUAGCUGACACUGAGGCGCGACAGCGUGGGGAGCAAACAGG
rnacentral:rRNA from 1 species